rnacentral:rRNA from 1 species
AGCGAACGCUGGCGGCAGGCCUAACACAUGCAAGUCGAACGAACCUUUCGGGGUUAGUGGCGGACGGGGGAGUAACACGUGGGAACGUGCCCGUAGGUUCGGAAUAACUCAGGGAAACUUGUGUUAAUACCGAAUGUGCCCUUCGGGGGAAAGAUUUAUCGCCUUUGGAGCGGCCCGCGUCUGUUUAGCUAGUUGGGUGAGGUAAUGGCUCACCAAGGCGACGAUCAGUAGCUGGGCUGAGAGGAGGAUCAGUCACAUUGGGACUGCGACACGGCCCACACUGCUACGGGGGGCUGCAGUAGGGAAUCUUGCGGGAUGAGGGAAAGCGUGACGCAGCCAUGCCGGGUGAAUGGUGAAGGUCUUAGGAUUCUAAAAUUCUUUGAGCCGAGGCGAUAAUGACGGUACCCGGUAAAGAAGCCCCGGCUAACUUCGUG